GGAGGAAAAGAAAUCAAAUGAGAUUUCCAUAGUAGCUGCGAGUGAACUGGAACUAAGCCUAUUGCCAAUUCUUAUGUUUUGUACAAUAAGAAAUGAGGUGUAAAAGUGUUUCGUGUUUAAUAGGAGUACAGCUUAAUUAUUAUUGAGUGGGUGCUCAGAGAAGGUGAAAAGCCUGUGAGGUUGUACUAUCCUGAUGAACCGAAGCUCUAGAGAGUCUAGUUGUUUGACAGUACAACUUAAAGAUGGUGGUAAAUUUCAUCAAAGGCUAAAUAUAUGAAGGGACUAAUAACGAACAAGUACCAUGAGGGAAAGUUGAAAAGAACUCUGACGAGAGAGUUCAACAGUACGUGAAACCAUAAUGAGUAAAACAGAUAACUGUGCUGUAAAGUGGUGUGCCUAUCAACAGGGUAGUUGGUUAUGUGAUGCCUUGAGCGUAAGUUGUCCAUUCAACCGAUUGCUCUUGGUUAGCCCUGCCAAAGACUCUGUGCACUAGUGCACACUCAUUCAUUGAGAAACUAUGCCGCUGCGGCAUCCAUAUGGAACAGCUCGUACGUAAUGCGAUGAUCUGUGUCGGGCGUCAUCUAGCCGGUGUAGUUUAGCUGUGGGACAACCUACAGCCUGCGUUUACUAAAUGUAACUGCUGUAUCUGCGAUUUGGUUUAUUCCU
rnacentral:rRNA from 1 species